AUAUGUCCUGAAUUUCGACAAUAGAAUUUCCCCCGCGGGCAAGCUGAUGUGCCUGGCUCGUCAGAGCCAUCAGGGCAAUCACAGAAGUCAUCAUUGAGCUGAGCUUUGGUGAAUUUCUUGGAUCCAUCUUUACAUUUUAUCGUGUCUGAUGAUAUCUUGUAGUAAUUCUCAUCUUGAGGAGGGAUUCCAAGGAAUUGGUCUUUGGGGACGGCAGAUUUAGCAAUUGAAGGUAUACAAAAAACUCCCAGCACAAUACCAUAUAUCAAUAUCAAAGUAUCAACUUUCAUCUUCUGCUAAAUUAGUUGAAAAUUCACAAGAACAAAAUCAAUUACAGUAUCUAACAGCUCAUCACUGUUUAAGACCAAAUUCCUCAGCUACCCACUAAACUAAAAAACAGAGAGAAAUAAAGAUGGAGGGAGAAUCGGAGUGGGAGUG
rnacentral:misc_RNA from 1 species